rnacentral:rRNA from 1 species
GACGAACGCUGGCGGCGUGCUUAACACAUGCAAGUCGAACGGAAAGGCCCUGCUUUUGUGGGGUGCUCGAGUGGCGAACGGGUGAGUAACACGUGAGUAACCUGCCCUUGACUUUGGGAUAACUUCAGGAAACUGGGGCUAAUACCGGAUAGGAGCUCCUGCUGCAUGGUGGGGGUUGGAAAGUUUCGGCGGUUGGGGAUGGACUCGCGGCUUAUCAGCUUGUUGGUGGGGUAGUGGCUUACCAAGGCUUUGACGGGUAGCCGGCCUGAGAGGGUGACCGGCCACGUUGGGACUGAGAUACGGCCCAGACUCCUACGGGAGGCAGCAGUGGGGAAUAUUGCACAGUGGGCGGAAGGCUGAUGCAGCAACGCCGCGUGCGGGAUGACGGCCUUCGGGUUGUAAACCGCUUUCGCCUGUGACGAAGCGUGAGUGACGGUAAUGGGUAAAGAAGCACCGGCUAACUACGUG